rnacentral:rRNA from 1 species
GGUUUUUAGAAAUUAUUAAAAAUCAGGCCUGCUCAGUGCUUAAGUAAAUAGCCGCAGUAUUAUGACUGUGCUAAGGUAGCAUAAUCAUUAGUCUUUUAAUUUGAGACUGGUAUGAAGGGUUAGACUGGACAAUUUUGUCUUAUAGUUAUAUUUUGAAUUUUAUAAUUUAGUAAAAAUGCUAAAAUUUAUCUUAGGGACGAGAAGACCCUAUCAAGCUUUACAAAUAGAAGUUAUUUAUCUUUUUAUAAUUUAUAUUUGUUUAACUGGGGCAGUGGAUAAAAAAUUUUUAUUUACAUAUUAUGGAAUUUUACCUAGGGAAAUCAGGAUAUUCCUAAGUGAAAAUAAGUUACUGUAGGGAUAACAGCGUAAUUCUUUUUGAGAGUUCUUAUCAUCAUAAGAGUUUGCGACCUCGAUGUUGGAUUAAAAUUCCUAUUUCGCGCAAUAGUGAAAUAAGGAAGUCUGUUCGACUUUUAAAAUUUUCCA